rnacentral:lncRNA from 1 species
GCUGUGACAAUCUUGGGCACUCUGCACUAUUUGCUCUUUAAGCUGUUUCUCAAGAUCUUCUGGCAGAGAAGUGAUAAUAAAUUGUUUAACAACUCAGACUUGCCAAUUUAGUUUAAGGAGCUUUAAAAGGAGGCUUUUAAAGACUUGUGCCUCUCGACUGCUGAUGACUCAUCUUGUUGAACAGUAAAACCAUAACUGCAGAUUGCCAGCCCCCAUUUCACGGGACACUCUGUACACCUGGCCGUGCCUUCGGGAGCUGAGGCACUUGGCUGGGGUCUGAUGUUCCCGUGCAGGUGCCAGAUGUGCGUGGGAGCGCGGCCGCGGUGCUGCUGCCAGCCCGCUGACCUGGGGAUCCUCGGCCAGCAGCGAGCCCCAGCCUGCCAGCAGCUGAGGUCAGAAAAAGCAAACAAAGAAGAGCACCCAUUUUGGUGCUCCUGCCUUCAUGUGACUGUUUUGGCAGUGCUGCCUCUUGCCCCAUGCCCUCCCUGCAGCCUCCGUAGCACCACUGCUCACUGCAUGGCCCGGGAAGGAGGGCAGCUUCAUCCUGCUCUGCCAAGCCAACGUGAGGAGAGGACUGGUUUUGCGUGAGAUGCGAUGGGAGCUGUGUAACAGUGUUUGGGCUGUAUGAAGAACUGGUUAAUAACCAUCCAUAAAACCAGAGCUGGAAAACUUGCACAUGGAAGUAUUUUUAAAAUUGCCCAACAAGGUCAUCAAACCUUUAAUACUGAUUUCUCAGCAAAUACCAUGUCACUGAAUUUCCAGAGAUUCAGGGGAAAUAACUGUUGAGUCAUUAUCCCGAAACAGUAACUGCCAUGUCCUAGGUAAGUGCUAACCAAAACUUGGCUAAUCUAACCCCAAUCCUUGGCAAAAGCAAUAAGGAGGUUGAUGAAGUACGCGGCC